UACAGAGGUGGCAUGCGUUGUUCGGAAUUACUGGGCGUAAAGGGCGCGUAGGCGGCCUUCUAAGUCAGACGUGAAAUCCCCAGGCUUAACUUGGGAACUGCGUCUGAUACUGGGAGGCUUGAGUGCGGGAGAGGGAUGUGGAAUUCCAGGUGUAGCGGUGAAAUGCGUAGAUAUCUGGAGGAACACCGGUGGCGAAGGCGGCAUCCUGGACCGACACUGACGCUGAGGCGCGAAAGCCAGGGGAGCAAACGGG
rnacentral:rRNA from 1 species